UACGGAAGGCAGCAGUGGGGAAUAUUGCACAAUGGGCGCAAGCCUGAUGCAGCCAUGCCGCGUGUAUGAAGAAGGCCUUCGGGUUGUAAAGUACUUUCAGUCGUGAGGAAGGUGUUAAGGUUAAUAACCUUAGCAAUUAGACGUUAGCGACAGAAGAAGCACCGGCUAACUCCGUGCCAGCAGCCGCGGUAAUACGGAGGGUGCGAGCGUUAAUCGGAAUUACUGGGCGUAAAGGGCACGCAGGCGGUUAAUUAAGUUGGAUGUGAAAUCCCCGGGCUUAACCUGGGAAUGGCAUUCAAGACUGGUUAGCUAGAGUCUUGUAGAGGGGGUAGAAUUCCAUGUGUAGCGGUGAAAUGCGUAGAGAUGUGGAGGAAUACCGGUGGCGAAAGGCGGGCCCCCUGGAGAAACCGAUCGACGCUCAUGUGCGAAAGCGUGGGGAGCAAACAGGGAUUAGAUACC
rnacentral:rRNA from 1 species